GAGCCAAGAGGCACAUUGCAGCUGGAGCAGAAGAUUGAAGACUCAGCAAAGGUGAGGAGUUGCAGUGUCGACAAAGGCUUCGACAAGGACGUCGAAGGAAUAAGUGGGGGAGAAUGUCACGGACAAACUUCUAAACAGGAUGUUUGAUGUAAUGCUUAUGUAUGUCCGUGUCUUUUGGUGUGUUCAUACUUUGUACAACAUGUAGAGGGACGACCGAAGGCUUAAUAGUCUCAUUUUAGUUAGGUUGGUGGCCGCUUUAGGCUUGUAAAUAAAGGUUG
rnacentral:lncRNA from 1 species